CCCAUUAACUAAUUUUUUGCUUUGUUAGAACAAAAAGAAAGUAAUUUGGGAAUGCAUUGAUUUGAGAACUUAGAGCAUCUGAAUGAAAGAAAUCCUGUUACAUAUGUAUUUAUAUCUUUGUGAUACUGAAUUUAUGUUUUCUUUACCAUUUGAGAGUACAUUAAAUACAAACCUUAGGGCUUUUUUUUAUCUAUAAAGUACAUAGAGAUUGAAUAACAUGUGAAACAGUUGAUACAGACCAAAUUAGUUGCAAUCCCCAAUAGAUCUGCUUAGAGAAUAAUGGAGAAUUUCCCCAAAAGUAUUGCUAUUUAUCAGGCUUGAACACAAAAGAUGUUCCAAUGUCGCACAAAAAAAAUGCAAGUUAUUCUUACCAUGCCUCGAGAACAUUCCAAAAGUAUGCAGAGCAAGCACAUGAAAUUCCUGGAAACUAUUCUUUAGUGCAUCAACAUGGUGAUUGGCACUUGCUUUGUAGUUACUCUUUGUUAAUGCUUGUGUCAGAAUGAAGUACCCUGAAACUUCAUUUUUCUUUGGUAGACAGUUCACCACAAUACUUAGCAGUUACCACAAAGAUCCUUAUGCAAAGGAAUUUGGCAUCAAAAUCAGUGAGAAACUUGCUUCGGUUGAAGCACGCAUUUUACCUACACUUGGGUAAGUAAAUUGGUAUUUUUUUAACAAAUGCGGGAUUUGUUUCAUUGACUAGCUAGUUCAACUACAGGAACUCCCUCCUUUGAGUGCUUUUUAAUUUUUCGUCAUUGCUUCUGGUUGGUUUUGUAGCUUAAAUCCCAUGACACUAGUAGAGAAAAGGAUUGCUUGCCCCAAGUGGGUCAAUGGAAUAUGAUGAAUAAGGCGAUUGAUGAGAGAGUUUACACAUAUGCAUGACCAAGCUGUUCAUCCAACCUGAUUCUUGGACCGAGCACAAGUUCUGGGUAAGUUUUACUAACAUGUGUGUGAAGCAUUGCCCAACCAAAUGCAGCCACAUGCACCAAUGUAGCGUAAGGUUGUGAGAUAAAAGCUUUCCAUUAAGUGGGUCACACUUUUUAGAACUUUUAGCUUAAAAAUCAAGUGUUUCCUUCCUCAAGUUUUUAGAACUUUUAGCUUAAAAAUCAAGUGUUUCCUUCCUCAAGUUUUUAGAACUUUUAGCUUAAAAAUCAAGUGUUUCCUUCCUUAAUUGUCUAUUUGCAGCCCACCAACCCAAGGAUUCAAAGGAAACCUCAGGGAUUCAUCCAUUUUGGACUCAUCAUGUGUUGUUAGUUGUUACUGAUAAAGGUCCUAGAAGGGGUCCUAUUGGUGCUGCCUCUGGUGCAAAAAUUGCCAAGGUGAUGCUCCUUUCACAUAAGGAAUAAUGUUGAAAUUAUUCUAGUAUGUACUGUAAUUAAUUAGAAUUCUAUGUUAUGGUAGUAGCAAAGAAACAAAUCCAGUUCUUCUGCCUGUGGAAGUGCUGAUGUGUUAGAGGCAUUGGGGGUAAACAUCAAUUUGGACCCUGAGGUAAGCGUUAUAAAAUGAUUGACUGAUUCCAUUUAUAGAGAGUUUCUUUUACUUCAACAUUGAUAUGGUCGUUUGUCUUUUUAAUGCUUUUUAUUAUGAUGAGCUAGGAUAGCCAGAUAUAUUUAUAUGCUUAUAAUACCUGUAUCUUGUUUUGGCAAUGCGAUAUCAAUACCAAACAGUGCAUGAAGACUUGUAAAAUGCAGCUUAAAUCGUAUCCUGUUGUAUUGGUUCGUACUAGCAGUUUUUGUCAUUGUAUUGAAGUAUCAG